rnacentral:lncRNA from 1 species
GGGCAAAAGAUAUUGGAUGAGUUUUCAAAAAUGACCACCUCACCCUUCCAGGAGGAGAUACUGAAGGCCUGAUUACCACCUGAAACCCCUUCCCAGUGGAGCCUAAGCCAGGUUCUCCUGUUUCCUGGAGAGUCACUCACUUGCUUUUCUGGAGCUAGCUGCCAGCAAGGGCUCUCCCUUCCUGACUCUGGACACGACUUCGCUUGUCUGGAGACGGGCUCUAGCCAGGACCUGGCAGUGGAAAGCCAUGGAGCCAUACAGUCUUGGAGAAGAGGGACCACUUCCAUCAGAAGGGCACCUCCCAUCCUUCUCUGAGAGUCAAGGGCUCAACUGCAGUGACACACUCAACCGGGACCUGGGCCCCAGCACACGGGACCUGC